UGGGGAAUAUUGCACAAUGGGGGAAACCCUGAUGCAGCGACGCCGCGUGAGCGAGGAAGUAUUUCGGUAUGUAAAGCUCUAUCAGCAGGGACGAAAAAAGACGGUACCUGACUAAGAAGCCCCGGCUAACUACGUGCCAGCAGCCGCGGUAAUACGUAGGGGGCAAGCGUUAUCCGGAUUUACUGGGUGUAAAGGGAGCGUAGACGGCAAGGCAAGCCAGAAGUGAAAGGGCAGGGCUCAACCCUGUACAUGCUUUUGGAACUGUGGUGCUAGAGUGCAGGAGAGGUAAGUGGAAUUCCUAGU
rnacentral:rRNA from 1 species